GGGAAGCGAGUGGGCGGCUGAGAGCUCUCCCGCCGCCCGCUCUAACUUUAGAGCGCAGCCGCCCGGGGAAGGGGACGGGGUCGGCGGGGGAGUUCUCCUGCCGACCCCUUGAGCAUGGGAGCAUGGGAAGGGAAGGGAAGGGGCGGCAGGGGUCCUGGGGCGGCAGGGCCAUUUAAGCCAAGUCGGGGGGCAUUGAAGAGCCGGGCGGCAGGGGCUGGGAGAUACCCUGCCGCCCGAUUGCGUAUUGAUUCAAAGGUAGCAGCAGUAGCAGCCGCGGAGGAGGGGGAAUGAAGCGGGCGGCAGGGAGGUAUGCCGCCCGCUUACUUCAAGAAAUACGGCGGCAUUCUUGAGGGGCAUGACAGAGAGAACCCCGAGUUGGAAAGGCUCACCGUCAUCCCCAUCUUCCUCUGACAGUAUUGCCACACAUUGUUCCCACACAGUACGGACAUCCGCCCGGUAACGUUCACAGGACCAGAUGAAAGAUGGGAGUAGCAGCGUCUGCACCAUGGAGCACCAGAGGACAGCUAGCACCAUCCAGUUGGGGGCAGUGUCAUAGCGUAGGCUGAAAAAGCUCACCACCUAAACACAGAGAGACAACGUGGAUGGAGACAGUGUGAAUAACAUUGCACAAUCAGGAUUCCUAUUUACAACUAAGGUUGGAGACAGAUGGCAGUUUUUAAAGACAGUUAAAUAUGGCCUGAAAAAGGGAUCCGCUGCUCAUGGUGUUUUCACUCACCUCCCUGACAGAAAUAAUUUGCAGGGUUUUAUAAGCAUUCAAUUGAUACUUGCCUGUUUGAUCAGAGGCAAACAAAAAUAAUAUAUGUACAGUAUGGGAAGUCACACCUCCCUCUUUUGGCUUUUCUAGCAAUAUUCCCAGCCCAUGUACUACCAGUGAUAGGAAAAUACUUUUGUGUGUGUGUGUGGGGGGGUGUUUUUUGCCCUCUAUAGAUGAAUGUGAUUUCCCCUCCCGACUCUGUUCCCGAUGAUGAACAUAUCUAGAUGGAAGGGUGAUUUAUUUCCCUCUGCCAGAGAAGCAAAUAUGUCUCUCCAUAGGUUAUUUGAUAUCUGUGAUUGGUUUGUAGAAUUCAAAAACAGAAAGUCAGUAGAGUCUAAAAAUAAAAUAGUUCACAAAG